rnacentral:tRNA from 1 species
GCGUUUGUGGGUUAGUGGUAAACUACGGCUUUGCCAGUAUUUCGCUAGAAAUCCCGAAGUAGCCGUGCCCCGGGUUCGAUUCCCGGCAGACGCA